UACAGAGGGUGCGAGCGUUAAUCGGAAUUACUGGGCGUAAAGGGCAUGUAGGUGGUUUCUUAAGUUAGAUGUGAAAGCCCCGGGCUUAACCUGGGAACUGCAUCUAAAACUGGGUAACUAGAGUAUGGUAGAGGGAAGUGGAAUUUCUAGUGUAGCGGUGAAAUGCGUAGAUAUUAGAAAGAACACCAGUGGCGAAGGCGACUUCCUGGACCAAUACUGACACUGAGGUGCGAAAGCGUGGGGAGCAAACAGG
rnacentral:rRNA from 1 species